rnacentral:rRNA from 1 species
UAGGGAAUCUUCCACAAUGGGCGCAAGCCUGAUGGAGCAACACCGCGUGAGUGAAGAAGGGUUUCGGCUCGUAAAACUCUGUUGUUGAAGAAGAACGUGCGUGAGAGUAACUGUUCACGCAGUGACGGUAUUCAACCAGAAAGUCACGGCUAACUACGUG